GGGUUGGGAUAUUACAAGAAAUUUCUUCACUCUCAUCCUAAACCUUCUUUUAGGAUGGUGACGGUCAAUCCAAAUUAAUCCAUUUUGAACUAGAGUCAGCAGGCCUAGUUGACUCCUAUUUAAAAAUCAGCAAAAGAAAAAAAGAGAAUAGGGCUCGGAAAAGAGGAACGGUGAUCGCAAUUCUCUACCUAAGCUUUCACCAUUGGGAUUACGGGCA
rnacentral:lncRNA from 1 species